GUAGUCCUAGCCGUAAACGGUGCGCAUUUGAGGUGAGAGGAUUCGACCCCUUUCGUCUCGUAGCUAACGCGAUAAAUGCGCCGCCUGGGGAGUACGGUCGCAAGAUUAAAACUCAAAGAAAUUGACGGGGGCCCGCACAAGCGGUGGAGCAUGUGGCUUAAUUCGAUGCAACGCGAAGAACCUUACCUGGCCUUGACAUGUACGUAGUAGAAGUAUGAAAGUAUGACGAGGUAGCAAUACCAGCGUACACAGGUGCUGCAUGGCUGUCGUCAGCUCGUGCCGUGAGGUGUUCGGUUAAGUCCGGUAACGAGCGCAACCCCUAUGAUCUGUUGCCACCCUCAGCAAUGAGGAGCACUCUGAUCAGACUGCCCUGCAUAACGGGGA
rnacentral:rRNA from 1 species